AGUGAACGCUGGCGGUAGGCCUAACACAUGCAAGUCGAACGGCAGCACAGUAAGCGCUUUCUCUUACGAGUGGCUAGUAACGGACGGGUGAGGCAUACAUCGGAAUCUACUUUUUCGUGGGGGAUAACUUAGGGCAACUUACGCUACUACCUCAUACGACCUACGGGUGAAAGCAUGGUUUCUUCGGACCUUGCCCGAUUUACUGAACCGAUCUCGGAUUUGCUAGUUGGCGGGGUAAAGGCCAACCAAGGCGACGAUCCGUACCUGGUCUGAGAGGAUGAUGAGCAACACUGGAACUGAGACACGGUCCAGACUCCUACGGGAGGCAGAAGAGGGGAAUAUUGGAAAAGGGGCGCAAGCCUGAUCAAGACAUACCGCGUGGGUGAAGAAGGCCUUCGGGUUGUAAAGCCCUUUUGUUGGGAAAGAAAAGCAGCAGGUUAAUAACCUGAUGUUCUGACGGUACCCAAAGAAUAAGCACCGGCUAACUUCGUG
rnacentral:rRNA from 1 species